GACGAACGCUGGCGGCGUGCUUAACACAUGCAAGUCGAACGAAGUGGCGAACGGGUGAGUAACGCGUAAUCAACCUGCCCUUCAGCGGGGGACAACAGUUGAAAACGAGUGCUAAUACCGCAUACUGAAGGAGGGGAUUGUGUCGGAUUGGCUAGUUGGGGGGGUAACGGCCCACCAAGGCGAGGAUCAGUGGGCCGUCUGGGAGGAGGAACGGCCAAAUUGGGACUGAGAAACGGCCCAGACUCCUACAGGAGGGAGAAGUGGGGAAUCUUCCGGAAUGGACGAAAGGCUGACGGAGCAACGCCGCGUGAGUGAUGACGGCCUUCGGGUUGGAAAGCUCUGUUAAUCGGGACGCGGUACCGGAAUAGAAAGCCACGGCUAACUACGUGCCAGCAGCCGCGGUAAUUC
rnacentral:rRNA from 1 species